GGCUGUUGAUCAUCCUAAAACACCUCCUUGUUACACUGGCAAGACUCAUAUCUUUAUAAGUCCCAUUAAAUUCUCACCCUCACUACACCUGAGACACAGGAGUGAUUGGGUGUAAAUAUUAGGACGAGGAGAGGGUGACACACGGGUGGGAAGAGUUGAGCGACACAAUGGAACUGGGUUGGCGGAUAAUUUGGAGGGCUCACUGGGGAGAGGAAAUAGUGUUA